rnacentral:rRNA from 1 species
GAUGAACGCUGGCGGCGUGCCUAAUACAUGCAAGUCGAGCGAACAGACGAGGAGCUUGCUCCUCUGACGUUAGCGGCGGACGGGUGAGUAACACGUGGAUAACCUACCUAUAAGACUGGGAUAACUUCGGGAAACCAGAGCUAAUACCGGAUAAUAUAUUGAACCGCAUGGUUCAAUAGUGAAAGACGGUUUUGCUGUCACUUAUAGAUGGAUCCGCGUCGCAUUAGCUAGUUGGUAAGGUAACGGCUUACCAAGGCAACGAUGCGUAGCCGACCUGAGAGGGUGAUCGGCCACACUGGAACUGAGACACGGUCCAGACUCCUACGGGAGGCAGCAGUAGGGAAUCUUCCGCAAUGGGCGAAAGCCUGACGGAGCAACGCCGCGUGAGUGAUGAAGGUCUUCGGAUCGUAAAACUCUGUUAUUAGGGAAGAACAAAUGUGUAAGUAACUAUGCACGUCUUGACGGUACCUAAUCAGAAAGCCACGGCUAACUACGUG